AAUUCUUUAGCUUAGUUGGUAGAGCAUUAGGUUUAUGACUUCAAGGUGUGGGUUCGAAUCCUAGAAAGAGUA
rnacentral:tRNA from 1 species